rnacentral:lncRNA from 1 species
UAGAAAUAUUCACAUCUUCGGAGAUGAGGAGUAAAAUUCAGUUUUUUUCCAGUUCCUCUUUUGUGCUGCUUCUCAAUUAGCGUUUAAGAUGAUUUUUUGAAAGUUAACAUUAAUGCCUGCUUUUUGGAAAGUCAGAAUCAGAAGAUAGUCUUGGAAGCUGUUUGGAAAAGACAGUGGAGAUGAGGGCCUAGGUCAUGACUCUCCAGGCCUUCACUGUGCCACACUCACAGAUGACAGGGCUUGCGGUACCAAAGGCUCUUUAUCUUCCAGACUACAGCUCCUAUUAAUGUGAAAACAGGAAAAGAAGUAAAAAUUGCACAAAAUGGCAUUGAAACUUUGGCGUGGGAACCUCACUUUAGCAGCCAGAAGGUUCCCCACGACCCACCACUGCCUGCCAAGAUGAAUGUAAAUGAAGCAGAAGUCUCACAGGCUGGGCACAGUAGGAAGAAGCAUUCUCAUCAUGGCCACUUAGCUUGCUCGAGAUUACACAGAACCAUGCCUCUGGUUUCCUGGUACAGUGCUCCGGCAGGUGACGGAUGCUCCUGGGUGACAUAUCACGGAUCUCUCUGAGGUGAGAUCUUCAUGAUUCUAUAUCAUAGGCAUCUCUUUAUCUUCAAGUUGGGCAACAUCAGCAGGGUUCCCAUGAGUAUGUGCCCAGCGAGGCUAUUUAGUUCCUCUUAUCUUUUUUUUUUUCUACUUGCCCUCGUUUUUCCUGAGAUUUUAUUUCCUUCCUAGCUGGCAUACCUUUCCCUGCUGUGGUAUUCAGACCUAAAUAGUGUGUGCACCUAUUACCUCUGCAGAGUAAUUACUGUUUGGUACCAUGGUAGAGUUUC